rnacentral:lncRNA from 1 species
GGGACCCCCCAAAAACUCCGAGUCCCCUCGAGGUCUCAAGGCCACCGCGGUGUCCCUUUAUUUGGGGGGGUCUGCAAGGCUGGGGGCGGCACCUGGGGGUCCCCAGCUGUGCCCAGCUGUGCCCAGCUGUGCCCAGGGUCUCAGCGCUGUCCCCAAGGUGCCACACCCCAAUAAAAUCCCCCAAAAUUCCCAAGGAAUUCCCGUUUUUCCACAUUUUGGUGCCUCGAGGCCAUUCCAGGUGCGUCCCACGCCGUGCCCAGGUGCGCCAGAGUCUCUCAGGGCUGUCACACCCCAAUAAAAUCCCAAUAAAUUCCCAUUUUUCCACAUUUUGAUGCCUUGAGGCCGUUCCAGCUGUGCCCCACGCCGUUCCAGCUGUGCCCAGCUGUGCCCAGGGUCUCAGCGAUGUCUCACCCCAUUAAAUUCCCAAUAAAUUCCCAUUUUCCCACA